AACAAACGCUGGCGGCGUGUCUUAAGCAUGCAAGUUGAGCGGCAAGGAGGAGAGAUCCUCCCUAGAGCGGCGGACUGGUGAGUAACGCGUGGGUAAUCUAUCGUAGGCAUGGGGAUAGUCACUAGAAAUAGUGGGUAAUACCGAAUACGUUCCAUGAGGGGAGUAUUCAUGGAAGAAAGGGUGCUACGGCACUGGCCUUAGGUGAGCUCGCGUCCCAUUAGCUAGUUGGUGAGGUAAAGGCCCACCAAGGCGAUGAUGGGUAGCCGGCCUGAGAGGGUGUACGGCCACACUGGGACUGAGAUACGGCCCAGACUCCUACGGGAGGCAGCAGCUAAGAAUAUUCCGCAAUGGACGAAAGUCUGACGGAGCGACGCCGCGUGGAUGAAGAAGGCCGAAAGGUUGUAAAGUUCUUUUGCUAGGGGAGAAUAAGUGUGGGAGGGAAUGCCUGCACGAUGACAAGGACUAGCGAAUAAGUCCCGGCCAACUACGUGCCAGC
rnacentral:rRNA from 1 species